UUGGCUCAGAAGCAGCCACCAUUUAAAGAGUGCGUAAUAGCUCACUGGUCGAGAGACGCUGCGCCGAAAAUGUCCGGGGCUCAAGCACGGAACCGAAGCUAUGGCAUUGACUAUGUCAAUGGGUAGGGGAGCGUUCUUAACAGGAAGAAGCAUGACCGGAAGGACAUGUGGACCGUUAAGAAGUGAGAAUGCCGGUAUGAGUAUCGAAAAGAAAGGUGAGAAUCCUUUCCACCGAAAGCCCGAGGGUUCCUGAGCAACGAUCGUCGUCUCAGGGUAAGUCGGGACCUAAGCCGAGGCGGAGACGCAUAGGCGAUGGACAACAGGUUGAAAUUCCUGUACCGGAUACAAUCGUUUGAGCGAUGGAGCGACGCAGAAAGGCAUAUGAUCGCGCGACUGGAAGAGCGCGUCCAAGUGCGUAUGUUGAAUCGGAGGCAAAUCCCUGAUUCUGAAAGCAGAGACACGAUGGGGAGUUAUACGAAAGUAUGACGAACUCAUAGAUCCUACACUGCCAAGAAAAACUUCUAGUGAGAAAGUAUCCGCCCGUACCGUAAACCGACACAGGUAGGCGGGGAGAGAAUCCUAAGGUGCGCGGGAAAACCCUCGUUAAGGAACUCGGCAAAUUGCAUCCGUAACUUAGGGAGAAGGAUGACCUUAAGUAAGCGAAAGGGAGAAACCCCUGGAACAGAACAAGGUGGCAGAAAAGAGGCCCAAGCAACUGUUUACCAAAAACACAGGUGCCUGCGAAAGCGAAAGCUGAAGUAUAGGUGCUGACGCCUGCCCGGUGCUGGAAGGUUAAGGAGAGAUGUCAGAGCAAUCGAAGCAUUGAACUGAAGCCCCAGUGAACGGCGGCCGUAACUAUAACGGUCCUAAGGUAGCGAAAUUCCUUGUCGGGUAAGUUCCGACCCGCACGAAAGGUGUAACGAUUUGGGCACUGUCUCAACGAGGGACCCGGUGAAAUUGAAAUACCUGUGAAGAUGCAGGUUACCCGCGACUGGACAGAAAGACCCCAUGGAGCUUCACUGCAGCUUGAGAUUGAAUCUCGGUGAUGCAUGCACAGGAUAGGUGGGAGACUAAGAAGUAUGGGCUUUGGCUUAUACCGAGUCGAUGUUGGGAUACCACCCUUGUAUUGCUGAGAUUCUAACACGGAGGCUAACAACCUCGUGGACCAUCUCAGGUAGGCGGUUUGACUGGGGCGGUCGCCUCCGAAAGAGUAACGGAGGCGCCCAAAGGUUCCCUCAGGUCGGACAGAAACCGACCGAAGAGUGCAAAGGCAGAAGGGAGCUUGACUGCGAGACAGACAAGUCGAGCAGAGACGAAAGUCGGGCUUAGUGAUCCGGUGGUACUGAGUGGAAAGGCCAUCGCUCAACGGAUAAAAGCUACCCUGGGGAUAACAGGCUAAUCUCUCCCAAGAGUUCAUAUCGACGGGGAGGUUUGGCACCUCGAUGUCGGCUCAUCACAUCCUGGAGCUGGAGUAGGUUCCAAGGGUUGGGCUGUUCGCCCAUUAAAGUGGUACGCGAGCUGGGUUCAAAACGUCGUGAGACAGUUUGGUUCAUAUCCAUCGCGGGCGCAAGAAGUUUGAGGGAGGCUGCUCCUAGUACGAGAGGACCGGAGUGGACGGAUCAACGGUGUACCAGUUGUCACGCCAGUGGCACGGCUGGAAAGCCGCAUCCGGAAAGGAUAAACGCUGAAAGCAUCUAAGCGUGAAGCCCGUCCCGAGAUGAGACUUCUCAUCAGCAAUGAGUAAGACCCCUUAAAGACGAUGAGGUUGAUAGGCUGUGAGUGGAAGGCCCGUAAGGGUUGGAGCGACGCAGUACUAAUAGGUCGAGGUCUUAACUUG
rnacentral:rRNA from 1 species